UACAGAGGGGGGCAAGCGUUGUUCGGAAUUACUGGGCGUAAAGGGCGCGUAGGCGGCCUUCUAAGUCGAACGUGAAAUCCCAGGGCUCAACUCCGGGGCUGCCGGUCAUACUGGCGAGCUGGAGCACGGUAGAGGCGGAUGGAAUUCCCGGUGUAGCGGUGGAAUGCGUAGAUAUCGGGAAGAAUACCGGUGGCGAAGGCGUUCCGCUGGGCCGUUGCUGACGCUGAGGCGCGACAGCGUGGGGGAGCAAACAGG
rnacentral:rRNA from 1 species